CUUUACUUUUUUAUAAAUUAACCCUUUAGAAUUUUAAAAUUUACGAAAUAAUCCUUCCAAAAUUAUAUUUGUAAAACUAAUUCUUCUUUCGCCACGUAGGGACAGGGACGAAUUUUUUUCAUAAAGGCAGUGAAUCGUUUACCGACACAUAGUCUUUUGCUUACUUAAAAAUUUUUUCUAUAUCCCAUAUAUAAUCUUAACAACAAUAUAAAAAUUAUAACAAAUCACAUAUAAUUUUAAUAAUCUAAAAAUCCUAAUAAUCUAUCCAUAUAAUUCUAACAAUCAAAUAAAAAUUCUAAUAAUUCACGUAUAAUUCCAAAAAUCUCUUUUUUUUUAUUUUUCAUCUAACUACCUCACAUUUUCCUGUACGUGGAUUAUAUGGGAAAUAGAAAUACGUGGAUUAUAUGAGAAAUAAAAAAAAAAAAGGUUGUUAGGAUUAUAUGUGAAUUAUAUGAAAAAUAGAAAAAAGUGAGGUUGUUAGAUGUAAAAUAGAAAAAAAGAGGGUUGUUAGGAUUAUACGUGAAUUAUAUGAAAAAUAGAAAAAAGUGAGGUUGUUAGAGGUAAAUAGGAAAAAGUGAGGUUUUUAGUAUGCGUAGAUUAUUAUAAUUUUUAUUUGAUUGUUAGAAUUAUAUGCAUAGAUUAUCAGAAUUUUCAGGUCAUUAAGAUUAUAAUAUGUGAUUUGUUGUAAUUUUUAUGUUAGAAUUGUAUGGAUAGAUUAUUAGGAUUUUCAGGUUGUUAAGAUUAUAUGUGAUUUGUUGUAAUUUUUAUGUUAGAAUUGUAUGGAUAGAUUAUUAGGAUUUUCAGGUUGUUAAGAUUAUAUGUGAUUUGUUGUAAUUUUUAUGUUAGAAUUGUAUGGAUAGAUUAUUAAGAUUUUCAGGUUGUUAAGAUUAUAUGUGAUUUGUUGUAAUUUUUAUGUGGUUGUUAAUAUUAUAUAUGGGAUAUAGAAAAAACAGUAAAGAAGCAAAAGAUGGUAAACCAUUCUUCACUGCCUUCAUAAAAAAUUUCCGCCC
rnacentral:lncRNA from 1 species